GAUGAACGCUGGCGGCGUGCUUAACACAUGCAAGUCGAGCGAGAAGUUUUGAAAAGAUUCUUCGGAUGAAAUUUAAAAUGGAAAGCGGCGGACGGGUGAGUAACGCGUAGGCAACCUGCCCCAUACAAAGGGAUAGCAUUUGGAAACGAAUAUUAAUACCUUAUGAAACUUAACUAGUGCAUGCUAGGUAGGUCAAAGAUUUAUCGGUAUGGGAUGGGCCUGCGUCUGAUUAGCUAGUUGGUGAGGUAACGGCUCACCAAGGCGACGAUCAGUAGCCGACCUGAGAGGGUGAACGGCCACAUUGGAACUGAGACACGGUCCAAACUCCUACGGGAGGCAGCAGUGGGGAAUAUUGCACAAUGGGGGAAACCCUGAUGCAGCAACGCCGCGUGAACGAUGAAGGCCUUUGGGUCGUAAAAGUUCUGUUCUAGGUGAUG
rnacentral:rRNA from 1 species